rnacentral:rRNA from 1 species
UACGUAGGUGACGAGCGUUAUCCGGAAUUACUGGGCGUAAAGCGCACGCAAGCGGUUGGCCAAGUCUGACGUGAAAUCUCCUAGCUUAACUGGGAGCGGUCGUUGGAAACUGGCGAGCUGGAGGCGAUGAGAGGGAUGCAGAAUUCCUGGUGUAGUGGUGGAAUGCGUAGAGAUCAGGAGGAAUACCUGUGGCGAAAGCGGCAUCCUGGCGUCGGCCUGACGCUCAUGUGCGAAAGCGUGGGGAGUGAACGGG